CUAAAUUAGCCCUAAAUAGAAGGGUCUGAAACAAAAAGGCAGGACGUCACCUUGUUCAAUUUCAGUGGGAAACACACAUAUCAGGCUACUCAAGCCAGGCUGUGUGAACACAACAGAAAUGGAUAUCCGAAAAUGUCGACGUUUGAAGAAUCCACAAAAGGUUAAAAAGUCCGUGUAUGGCGUGACUGAAGAGUCCCAGGCACAGAGCCCGGUGCAUGUACUCAGCCAACCAAUCAGGAAAACAACAAAAGAGGACAUCCGGAAACAGGUGAAUGAAUUGACAGCUUGCACUCUCAGGAGGAGACGUGGCCAGUUUAAAAACCCUUUCAAAUGUUCAACUCUGAAGAUUGAGCAAGCUUUGAGUUCCUGGAAACCACAGUGGAACCCAGCUGUGGGUGAUUGAACCUUUUAAGUGCUGUGUGUGAACAAGCCACGGAAGCUUGAGAGAAAGAAUUCUCUACCCAGUUCCUCCAGCAGUUACUAGAAAAGGGCGUAAAUGAGUCAUCCCAUGCCUUGGGGUAACUGCUGUAAUGGGGUUUCCCACAGUCCGCUGUGGGAGCUGGAGGAAGGAGGGGGCUCAUGUCACACAGUCCUUAUAAUUGGAAUGCACCAGCUCAGGAUGGUCUACUUUAUUGCUGUGAUUUGAAAGGAAAGUUUAAGAAUAAAUAAAGCUCUACUCCCAAUGCCA
rnacentral:lncRNA from 1 species